GUUGCCUGUGAAACGAAUCUAAGUUCACUCUUAAUUCUUCUCCAAGGAAAAUCAAACCCUAAUGAAGCGGAUUAAGGGCUAUUUAAAGGGGGUACAGCUCCUUUAAAAAAGAAUACAAUCUCUACGAGCGGAUAAAUAACCUUCACAAAAACCUAUUGUGGGCCCUCAAGCAGCCAUCAACAAAGAGUGCGUUAAAGCUCCGUAUCCUAAAAAUAUAAGAACAAUAUGAAUCCCUCCUCACUAACAGGCCAACCUAUACCCAAAUAGGAGAAUUAAUGCUAGAAUGAGUAACCAGGGUCCUCCCUCUACGACGCAAGCUUACAUCAGUACAUUAUUAACAAAUACCCAAUAUACGACCAAUACAACAAGCAGAGUAUUAAGUACAUUGUUAACCCGACAGAGGAGCGUCCAUUAAGAAAGAUUAAAACCUGCAAAAGGAACUAGGCAAACCCGUCAAGGCCCGACUGUUUACCAAAAACAUAGCCUUCAGCAAACCAAAGCAAGUAUUGAAGGUGAUGCCUGCCCGGUGACCUGAGGUUCAACGGCCGCGGUAUCCUA
rnacentral:rRNA from 1 species